GACGAACGCUGGCGGCGUGCUUAACACAUGCAAGUCGAACGAUGAACCCGGAGCUUGCCCCGGUGGAUUAGUGGCGAACGGGUGAGUAACACGUGAGUAACCUGCCCUUGACUCUGGGAUAACUGCGGGAAACUGUAGCUAAUACCGGAUACGACCCUCGGCGGCAUCGCCAGGGGGUGGAAAGAAUUUCGGUCAAGGAUGGACUCGCGGCCUAUCAGCUAGUUGGUGAGGUAACGGCUCAGCAAGGCGACGACGGGUAGCCGGCCUGAGAGGGUGGCGGGCCGCACGGGGACCGAGACGCGGCCCAGACUCCUACGGGGGGCAGCAGUGGGGGAUGUUGCACAAUGGGCGCAAGCCUGAUGCAGCAACGCCGCGUGAGGGAUGACGGCCUUCGGGUUGUAAACCUCUUUUAAUAGGGAAGAAGCGAAAGUGACGGUACCUGCAGAAAAAGCACCGGCUAACUACGUGCCAGCCGCCGCGGUAA
rnacentral:rRNA from 1 species